rnacentral:tmRNA from 1 species
GACGUGUGCCAGCUUUCCAGCCCUAGCUCUCCUCUUUGGUAAUUUGUUGAGCAGUUGCUUGGCUCCUAAUUCAUUCAUGGCUUCUGGAGGUAAAAACAACCCUGGAUUCCAACCUGAUUCUGACAGUGAUGAGCACGUCUAUGCAGAGCCAGAGGAGGUUUAUGACAAUCCUUUUGAUGCAAUGCGGCGCCAGGGAGUAUAUUCUCUCCUGAGACCCCCCUAUAAUAGACAAGAGGCUGUAGAUAGCGAUGAUGAUGCCACCUAUGCCACCCCCUCUUUUGACAGAAUAAUUACUCGCAGACCCAGCACUGGCGAAGUCGAGAGGAUGCCUGGCACGCCCAGUCGGCGUCCCCCCGAACAGUCAGAUAGUGAGUCUGAUUAUGAGGAUAUAGGGGCAUAUGGGCAACCUGCCAGGCAAUCGAUCUAUCAAACACCCAGGAGGUCCACCAUCAGGUGUAAAGUCUCUUCUGUGGGUGAGAACUAUGAUAUCCCUAGGGAUACUCAGGCCAAUACUGUCACUGUGCAAACAACUCAUGGGGGCGCGCGUCCUCGGUCCCGGGCACCCAGGGUUUUGGUUAGACACCCAGAGGCCGGAGGCAACAAACCUGACUUCCUGCCAGUGGACAAACCACUUCCAUCUGUACCUCAACAUGUACCUCAAGGGUAUGAGGAAAUGGCAGGUUCUCCACCCCCAGAACGGGAUGUCAGGUCUCCCAGGCCACAAAGACGGCCAAACCCCCCAGUGAUAAUCUUCUCUGAUUCUGAGACGGAAAGUGACGCGGAAGCUGUUGGGGAGCGUCAGAGGGGAAGUAAGGUUGAUGUUCCUACAUCCUGGAAACGCCUGAUGAUGACUAAGGAGACUGGAACAAAGAGUAAAACCGCUUUUGACAAACUAAAGGGAAGUUUUGAGAAGUUCAUGAGCGGAAAUACAAAAAAUGAGGGCACGGAAGAGCAUCGGUCAGUUGUUAGGAGGAGAGGAGACGGGACUGGGUUCAGAUAUUCAUAUAUGUCCAAAAUGAGCACAGAUUUCCCGGCAGGCCCCACCAGAUGUGCCACUGUGUUAUACUUUGAUGGUGGGAUUGCGGUGGGUAAGACCACCGCCCUGGAGGCUGCUGCUGAGUUUCUGCACAACAUACUUGUGAUCUCAGAACCUAUUCCUUACUGGACUUCCACUUUUGACAAAAAUGUCUGUCAGCAGAUCUACGAUGUGGUCAAGACCAAAGAAAAGGGGAAGAAGCACUCCAAAAAAGUGUUGCAAUGCCAAAUGGCCUUUGCCCAGCCUUUUCAUGCCACCCAGCACCUACUCCGCCGGACGUGUCUAGGUACCAAGGUCUCCGAUGGAACAUGUAACAAUUAUGUGUUGAUUGACAGGCAUAUGGUGUCUCCCACAGUCAUCUUUCCUUGCCUGUUUUUCAGAUUGGGGGUGUUGAGGUUCUGUGAUUUGUUAUCACUAUUGUCUGUGUUUUCAGCACAAAAAUUUGAUAAUGUUGUCUUGUUUAAACUCCAUCCCAAAGUAGCUGCGACCCGAGUCAAGGAGAGGGGGAGAAACCCAGAAGGUGUGAUCAACCACACGUACCUGCAACUCCUCAAUGAAGUAUUGGAUGCCAUUUUUUGUGCCUGGGAACUGUUGGCGAUCGUGCCUCCUGAAGUUAUUGUGGAUGCUAUGCUUUCCCAGACUUCAGUUAAGACUGUGUUUCAGAAGGCUGGCUUUGUUGCACCCAGGGCAAGGCUUAUGGAACAGAUGUUUAGAGAUAGUAUUUUUAAUGACUUGAGAGAAAAUGUGCGUCAGUUGCCACUACAUGGAUCAUCCAUCCCAACCUUGCUACAUAAAUUUUGUUAUGAACUAUCCAAACCACAUAUGGUUAAACUAGAUGCUGGACAGUUUCCUAACGAUGUUCCCGGUUUGUGGACUCACAUAUAUACCCAAAUACUCACAGACCCGGCUAUUAAAACAUGCGACCUGAAAUGGAAUAUCCUAGAAAAGGGCAUAUCUGGUGGAGACCCUCAGUAGUAAUAAAUAGCCAAGCACAAUGGUGACAUGUUUGAAAAA